UACGUAGGGUGCAAGCGUUAAUCGGAAUUACUGGGCGUAAAGCGUGCGCAGGCGGUCGUGUAAGACAGAUGUGAAAUCCCCGGGCUUAACCUGGGAACUGCAUUUGUGACUGCACGGCUGGAGUGCGGCAGAGGGGGAUGGAAUUCCGCGUGUAGCAGUGAAAUGCGUAGAUAUGCGGAGGAACACCGAUGGCGAAGGCAAUCCCCUGGGCCUGCACUGACGCUCAUGCACGAAAGCGUGGGGAGCAAACAGG
rnacentral:rRNA from 1 species